GAUCCCAGGACCCUGGGAUCAUAACCUGAGCCGAAGGCAGACGCUUAACCACCGAGCCACCCAGGCGUCCCUCUGCAAGGACAGCUUUAAAAGUUCUGAGAAGCAGGCACAGGGACAUUGGACAAACAUCCACACACAAUGCAGAGUGGACACAAAUUGCACACGGACACGUAGUGCAGCGUCCCUGGGGACUCCCGUGAGCCGGGCACGGCCCCUCCUCCGUCUCAGGUGUGCACCGAGGGGCAUGGAGGCCCCCAGGACAGAACUGGACGGUAUGAAAUUCAGAACCUCAUGCGUGUGUCCUUAGCAGAUGAUGCUCAAGGUCAGAGAGACUGAUUUCCUGUAAAUGCCUGGUUUUACAGAAAAGGGAAACCCAUCCCUUGACCAAGGGGCAUCCACCGAGAGCUCCUCCCCAGACUCAAGCUGGAAAGUUGCUGCUUGGUCUCUAGCUGAACUCCCUACCCCUUGUCUUCCUCCCCAGAUGCCCAGCCUGCCCCAAACCCUCAACAGACUCCAGUAGAUCGCGUGCUACAGUUUUCACGUCCUGAAGUACAGUUCCUCCCCUAUUCCCAAAUAUACUCCGUUUUUGGUAAUUCGGGCUUGCCUCGGUUUACCUCUUUCAUUUAGGUUGACACCAUAAAAGUCUGUGGGAUUUGUAGCGAUGUCCCGUAUUUCAUUACUGAUGCUGGUGUCUUUUCUCUAUUUCUUCUCGAGUGUUGCUAGGACUUUAUACAUUCUGGGAAUACUCGAUAAUAAAUGUUUGUGGCUUUAUUAAUG